UUGUAAACUUCUUUUAUAUGGGAAUAAAGUGCAGUAUGUAUACUGCUUUGCAUGUACCUUACGAAUAAGGAUCGGCUAACUCCGUGCCAGCAGCCGCGGUAAUACGGAGGAUCCGAGCGUUAUCCGGAUUUAUUGGGUUUAAAGGGAGCGUAGGCGGGUUGUUAAGUCAGUUGUGAAAGUUUGCGGCUCAACCGUAAAAUUGCAGUUGAUACUGGCAUCCUUGAGUACAGUAGAGGUAGGCGGAAUUCGUGGUGUAGCGGUGAAAUGCUUAGAUAUCACGAAGAACUCCGAUUGCGAAGGCAGCCUGCUGGACUGUAACUGACGCUGAUGCUCGAAAGUGUGGGUAUCAAACAGGAUUAGAUACCCUGGUAGUCCACACAG
rnacentral:rRNA from 1 species